UACGUAGGGUGCGAGCGUUAAUCGGAAUUACUGGGCGUAAAGCGUGCGCAGGCGGUUUUGUAAGCCAGAUGUGAAAGCCCCGGGCUUAACCUGGGAAUGGCAUUUGGGACUGCAAGGCUUGAGUGCGGCAGAGGAGAGUGGAAUUCCUGGUGUAGCGGUGAAAUGCGUAGAUAUCAGGAGGAACACCGGUGGCGAAGGCGGCUCUCUGGACGGAUACUGACGCUGAGGCGCGAAAGCGUGGGGAUCAAACAGG
rnacentral:rRNA from 1 species